rnacentral:lncRNA from 1 species
AAGUCGAGUGGAUCCGGGAAGAGGCCUGGUGUCUUCAGGUUAGACGCAGCGCCCAGGGGCGGCUGAAGAAACGUGUGGACAAAUCCUCCAAGAUUUAACUUCCAAGAAAACCGGCGGCGGAGCGGGUGGAGGAGGCGAGGAUGUGUGGCCAAUGCACGCGGAGUGCAAGGCCGCCUAGUUGGGAGCCGCAAGAGCCUGCCUGGUGUGGCAGGCACACGGAACCCAAUCCCUGUCUGUCCGCUGCGGCCUGGGAGGGGAGCGCCGGCCUCACCAGAGGAAGGAGCACGAGGGGAGGAGUUCCGAGAGGAAAUAAUUAGUGAAAUAUUUGCAGAAGAUGCUGGGAUGUGGAUUUAAUUCCGGAUGGACAGUGGUGCUUCUGAUUCCCUCAGUCUGUUUCCCCACCCACGAUCUCCUCUUUCCUUGGCCUAGACACACCAAAAAUAAUUCAAUAAAAUAAAAAUAAAAAUUUAAAAAUCUGUAAA